UACGUAGGGACCGAGCGUUGUCCGGAUUCAUUGGGCGUAAAGAGCUCGUAGGCGGCUGCUCAAGUCGAAUGUGAAAACUCGAGGCUCAACCUCGAGCCUGCAUUCGAUACUGGGCGGCUAGAGUCUGGUAGGGGGAUCUGGAAUUCCUGGUGUAGCGGUGGAAUGCGCAGAUAUCAGGAGGAACACCGGUGGCGAAGGCGGGUCUCUGGGCCGAUACUGACGCUGAGGAGCGAAAGCGUGGGGAGCGAACAGG
rnacentral:rRNA from 1 species